rnacentral:rRNA from 1 species
GUGGGGAAUCUUGCGCAAUGGGCGAAAGCCUGACGCAGCCAUGCCGCGUGAAUGAUGAAGGUCUUAGGAUUGUAAAAUUCUUUCACCGGGGACGAUAAUGACGGUACCCGGAGAAGAAGCCCCGGCUAACUUCGUGCCAGCAGCCGCGGUAAUACGAAGGGGGCUAGCGUUGCUCGGAAUUACUGGGCGUAAAGGGCGCGUAGGCGGACAGUUUAGUCAGAGGUGAAAGCCCAGGGCUCAACCUUGGAAUUGCCUUUGAUACUGGCUGUCUUGAGUACGGGAGAGGUGAGUGGAACUCCGAGUGUAGAGGUGAAAUUCGUAGAUAUUCGGAAGAACACCAGUGGCGAAGGCGACUCACUGGCCCGUUACUGACGCUGAGGCGCGAAAGCGUGGGGAGCAAACAGGAUUAGAUACCCCUGUAGUC